rnacentral:rRNA from 1 species
GAGGAAUAUUGGUCAAUGGACGGAAGUCUGAACCAGCCAAGUAGCGUGCAGGAUGACGGCCCUAUGGGUUGUAAACUGCUUUUGUAUGGGGAUAAAGUCAAUCACGUGUGAUUGUUUGCAGGUACCAUACGAAUAAGGACCGGCUAAUUCCGUGCCAGCAGCCGCGGUAAUACGGAAGGUUCGGGCGUUAUCCGGAUUUAUUGGGUUUAAAGGGAGCGUAGGCCGGAGAUUAAGUGUGUUGUGAAAUGUAGACGCUCAACGUCUGACUUGCAGCGCAUACUGGUUUCCUUGAGUACGCACAACGUUGGCGGAAUUCGUCGUGUAGCGGUGAAAUGCUUAGAUAUGACGAAGAACUCCGAUUGCGAAGGCAGCUGACGGGAGCGCAACUGACGCUUAAGCUCGAAGGUGCGGGUAUCGAACAGGAUUAGAUACCCUGGUAGUCCGCACAGUAAACGAUGGAUGCCCGCUGUUGGUACCUGGUAUCAGCGGCUAAGCGAAAGCAUUAAGCAUCCCACCUGGGGAGUACGCCGGCAACGGUG